rnacentral:rRNA from 1 species
GAUGAACGCUGGCGGCGUGCCUAAUACAUGCAAGUCGAACGAGAAUCUUUUUCUUCGGAGAAAGAGGACAGUGGCGCACGGGUGCGUAACACGUAGCUGACCUGCCCUUCGCAGGGGGAUAACACAGCGAAAGUUGUGCUAAUACCGCGUAGGCUGGUGGUUUUUAGAAAGCCAUCAGUAAAGAUUUAUCGGCGAAGGAGGGGGCUGCGGUCCAUCAGCUCGUUGGUGAGGUAACGGCUCACCAAGGCGAAGACGGAUAGGGGGCCUGAGAGGGUGACCCCCCACACUGGAACUGAGACACGGUCCAGACUCCUACGGGAGGCAGCAGUAAGGAAUAUUGCACAAUGGGCGCAAGCCUGAUGCAGCAACGCCGCGUGAGGGAUGAAGGGUUUCGGCUCGUAAACCUCUUUUCUGUGGGAAGAGCAAGGACGGUACCACAGGAAUAAGUCUCGGCUAACUACGUGCCAGCAGCCGCGGUAAAACGUAGGAGGCGAGCGUUAUCCGGAAUUACUGGGCGUAAAGCGCGCGUAGGCGGUUCAUCAAGUGGUGCGUGAAAGCUCCCGGCUCAACUGGGAGAGGACGUACCAAACUGGUGAACUAGAGAAAGAUAGAGGUCGACAGAAUUCCGGGUGGAGUGGUGAAAUGCGUAGGGAUCCGGAGGAAUACCAGAGGCGAAGGCGGUCGGCUGGGUCUAUUCUGACGCUGAGGUGCGAAAGUGUGGGGAGCGAACGGGAUUAGAAACCCCGGUAGUCCACACCGUANACGAUGCAUACUAGUUGUUAGGUGCCUACGGGUGCUGAGUGACGAAGCUAACGCGUUAAGUAUGCCGCCUGGGGAGUACGGUCGCAAGGCUAAAACUCAAAGGAAUUGACGGGGGCCC